rnacentral:rRNA from 1 species
UACGAAGGUGGCUAGCGUUGUUCGGAAUUACUGGGCGUAAAGGGCGCGUAGGCGGGUUUGUAAGUCAGAUGUGAAAGCCCCGGGCUCAACCCGGGAAUAGCAUUUGAUACUGCGAGGCUUGAGUCCGGGAGAGGAUGGCGGAAUUCCCAGUGUAGAGGUGAAAUUCGUAGAUAUUGGGAAGAACACAGGUGGCGAAGGCGGCCAUCUGGACCGGUACUGACGCUGAGGCGCGAAAGCGUGGGGAGCAAACAGG